CUGUGGGCAUUGCCAACUGUUUCCCUGUGCUAGAACGUAAGAGCUGGAAACCGUGCUUUCGUGCUUGUUAAACUUGAAGAGCUUCUCAUCUCUACUUCGAAGCCUUCGCAGCGACUUUCUCCUUUUCUGAGCUUCCAAGCAGCUGUUUAGAUCAGCACUUGAGUGAGACUCAACCCGAGUGCGACGAGAUGCAGCAACCGGCAAGAGCGAGCCCGUCCCCGUGCUGACUCGCGUCCGCAGCAAGACGUUCAUCGUCACCGGCGAGGCGCCCGAGGGCGUCCCGAGCAUGGGCGCCGCCGUCAAGGGACUCCUGAAGGACUGGCUCAAAUCUGGGAGCGUCUUCGCCGCGCACCAGAAGGGCUUCAUCCUCCCCGGAACGUGGACUCAGAGCCUCGCGAUGGCCCAGUAGAGCGGGCUGGUGCGAGAUGCGACGGCGUUCACAGCUCAAGCCAAGACUGCAUCGCUAUACAAGAGAUGCAGUUUGAACCGGCCAAAGAUGGCUUUCUGAAUGUGUAGAAUGGAAUUCUAUCAAUAUUUUGGAAGUUCAUCGACUAGGGUUCCGUGAUUAAGAAACAUUUGAUCUCAUUCCCCGUCUCAGUCGAAGUUGCCAGAGAAAUGGCGGAUAAAACAGUGCCGUCAGAAAACAGCGAUGAAAGGCCAGGAAUCACCUGCAUGUGCUUCUUAACACGCCUGAAGCGGUGAAGGUUAAGGAGGCAGAGGAUACUCGUCGGAGAAACCCAAGCUUUGGAAAGCUUGUCUUUUAUAUAUAUUAUGUUAAUAGAUUUAAGAUAAGUAAAUAUGACUAACAUAAGGCUGUUGCUGAAGACGCAAAGUGUGAUGGCACACAGUGUUAUGUAGCACACGUGAUAUAGAUGUUUAGGUUUAGUAUGAAAUGUAAACGUCCAUAUUAUAUUUUAUGACACUUUUUAUACUGCAUAAAUGAUAUGCAAUAAAUGCAAUAAUUUAC